rnacentral:rRNA from 1 species
UGGGGAAUAUUGGACAAUGGGGGGAACCCUGAUCCAGCCAUGCCGCGUGUGUGAAGAAGGCCUUUUGGUUGUAAAGCACUUUAAGCGAGGAGGAGGCUACCUAGAUUAAUACUCUGGGAUAGUGGACGUUACUCGCAGAAUAAGCACCGGCUAACUCUGUGCCAGCAGCCGCGGUAAUACAGAGGGUGCAAGCGUUAAUCGGAUUUACUGGGCGUAAAGCGUGCGUAGGUGGCCAAUUAAGUCAAAUGUGAAAUCCCCGAGCUUAACUUGGGAAUUGCAUUCGAUACUGGUUGGCUAGAGUAUGGGAGAGGAUGGUAGAAUUCCAGGUGUAGCGGUGAAAUGCGUAGAGAUCUGGAGGAAUACCGAUGGCGAAGGCAGCCAUCUGGCCUAAUACUGACACUGAGGUACGAAAGCAUGGGGAGCAAACA